GCAAAGACUUAGAUCAUGGAUUCAUUUCAAAGUCCACAGAGAAGAAAAACAUCAAGCUAUCAUUAUUAAUACAACCAUUAUUGAUACAACAGCUUUGAUGUGGAGAUUAAAAAUAAAAAAAUCCGCUGCGUUGACAAUGUCAAAGGACCUUGAAAUCUGUGGAUUCCUUUUCUUUUUCUUUUUCAUUAAUAGAUAAUCUUAGAUCCAAGUUGUUCUCUAACUGGGUCCAACGCUGGCCAUCUACCCACAACCACCGUGAGGGAGCAGGCUACUUUCAGCCGGAUAAGCCUCAAAGUAUAAGGCCAUCUAUAUUAACGACACUACCGGGCUGUUGCUAGCAUUGGCGAGCCUUCAACUCACACGACCAGCCCUCCAUAUUCCAAAAGAGUUGAGGGACUCGGAUGCUUUACUGAGAUGGCAACUGAUAGACAGAACUGACCGGGAAAGAGCAAGAGACCAAGAUUUAUUUGAUGUCUUCUCCACUGGGAAUUCAAUAAGAUUUCCAUAUCUCGUGAUAACCAAUCCAGAGCAGAAGAGUGCCCAGCAGCAUUCCCUUGCUCUUGAUGGAAGGAUGGCUGCCAUUUCUAUUAACAUGAUCCUGGCAGUUUCGCAACAGCCAACAGGGAUAUGAUUUUUGAAGGACUCGCCAUUCUGUGAAGCAACAUCUGUUUUUUAAACUAGGUGAUCAAAAAGAAAGAAUCUAUUGUUAGAAACCCAUAUAAGAAAAGAAAAAGAGACGGGUCCCUAGUUUCAAGCUUGUGCUAGUUGUCCAUUACACAUCCUUGCAUUACGGCAUUAUAAGAAAUGUGAGCUUCAUCCAUAACCAUUAGGGAUUUUGUUCCCGUUGUUCUCUGAUUUUACAGAUUAGUUUUAGUUUUUUCGAUGAGGUCAAUAUGUGGUAGGUUCACGGGUUUAAAAUGAGGGACGAAACUGCUGAUAGGGAUUGACACAGCUCAUGCACUCCAUUAGCUUCUCACAAGUCAUUAAAAAUCGGGUCACGCUCCGUUCAAGAAUAUGUUAAAAUAACGUAGUGAUAGUCACGCAAAGUAAUGACUAUAGGAGUACAAGUUGAGCAACAGCACCUUGCUUAAGAGAUAGGAAAGCUACUUCCCACGAGUAAUGACAUGUUAGAACAAUUUAGCAAAAGGAAUCAUGAAACCUUUAGAAGAAAAUGACAAUACUUUAACAUUUAGUACUUGAAAGACAAUAUAUAAGCUAAGGGAUUGCCUAUGCAGCAUGUGAAUUGGAUCAGAGCAUGUGCGGCUAGUCCUUUCUCCAUUUCUAUUAAUGGCAAUUUGUGUAGGUAUUUGCUGGCUCUAAAUGGCUUCGGCAAGGAGAUCCUCUUUCCCCUUACCUGUUUGUAGUAGCAAUGGAAGUGCUUUCUUGCUUGCUGAAUAAUGCUGCUAUUAAUGAGUAUUGUUCCCUAUCAUCCAAAGUGUAGUAAGAUUAAACUUACACGUUUGUGCUUUGUGGAUGUUCUUAUGAUUUUCACAAAGGGAGAUGUUGCAUCC